GAUGAACGCUGGCGGCGUGCCUAAUACAUGCAAGUCGAGCGAAUGGAUUAAGAGCUUGCUCUUAUGAAGUUAGCGGCGGACGGGUGAGUAACACGUGGGUAACCUGCCCAUAAGACUGGGAUAACUCCGGGAAACCGGGGCUAAUACCGGAUAACAUUUUGAACCGCAUGGUUCGAAAUUGAAAGGCGGCUUCGGCUGUCACUUAUGGAUGGACCCGCGUCGCAUUAGCUAGUUGGUGAGGUAACGGCUCACCAAGGCAACGAUGCGUAGCCGACCGGAGAGGGUGAUCGGCCAAACUGGGACUGGGACACGGCCCAGACUCCUACGGGAGGCAGCAGUAGGGAAUCUUCCGCAAUGGACGAAAGUCUGACGGAGCAACGCCGCGUGAGUGAUGAAGGCUUUCGGGCCGUAAAACUCUGUUGUUAGGGAAGAACAAGUGCUAGUUGAAUAAGCUGGCACCUUGACGGUACCUAACCAGAAAGCCACGGCUAACUACGUGCCAGCCGCCGCAGUAA
rnacentral:rRNA from 1 species